UCUGGAGGUGUGGGGUUUUCCAGUUGCUGCCUUCAGGAGCCUCUGAAAUGAUCUUUGGAAAUGGGAUGGGAAUGCAGACUUUGUAAAGCAGCAGGUAAAGGUGGUGUGUUUCUGCAGCUGCGUUGUGGCCUGAAGGAUGAGGAAUGAUGAGAUUCAAAUUGCAGAGGCUUUAGUGGACCCAAUGGAGAAAAGUCUUAAGUUUAAUCCUGCCAGGCGUUUUAAAACCAUGAGACGAUACACAGCACAGAUUUUAAAAGAUCAAGAGCAAUUUGUUUGUGGAGUAAAACACCAGAAAAAUGGUGUACGUCUACACAGCACAAUCCAGCCCUGAGGGCAGCCACCGGAGGUACUUUAGGUGCAAUAUAGCUUUGAUAGCAUGGAGCUUCAUAUAUAUCAGAGGGGAAAGGCAAAGUAUGGCAGCACGGCGCUGGUGUGCAGUGCUAAUUCAUCUCUGCUACUGAAAGGACCCAGCUUCAUCUAGGUACCUCUGUGUUGAAUGACACUGUGCCACAUCGACUGAAAAACUCAUUGCAUGUGGCGAAUAAGAUAGUACCACUAUUAGAGGGAGCCCCAUAAUCUAGAAAAACCUUUGGGACAGGGUAAUUGGCACACACCUUGGGGUAUGGAUGAGCACGGCUCAGAACGAGGAUGCUCCUUAGAGAAAGAGCUGAAGGACCUGAGCCCCUUUACUAGCAUGGG